GACGUAUUUAGUAACCAUCAUGUCUGACGUCAUCAUCACGUGGGGAGUAGUGUCGUUCAUCAUCUUUGGUACAGGUACACUGUCUGCUGCAGUCAGAAUUACGAAGAUGUAUUACGUGAGCACUGUCCUACUGUUAAUAUCCCUACUGUUUAAAUGUGUCUGUAUUCUAGUUUGGAUACCAAUGCGGAUAUCAAUCGACAGCAAUCUAUCGGACGCUAUGAAAACUGCAUUGCGGAAUAAUUAUAAAACUGAUAUACCUCAUACGAAGUUAUACAUGGAGGAAAAGAACCUAG